rnacentral:rRNA from 1 species
GACGAACGCUGGCGGCGUGCUUAACACAUGCAAGUCGAACGGAAAGGCCCUGCUUUUGUGGGGUGCUCGAGUGGCGAACGGGUGAGUAACACGUGAGUAACCUGUCCUUGACUGUGGGAUAACUUCAUGAAACUGGGGCUAAUACCGGAUAGGAGCUCCUGCUGCAUGGUGGGGGUGGGAAAGUUUCGGCGGUUGGGGAUGGACUCGCGGCUUAUCGGCUUGUUGGGGGGGUAGUGGCUUAGCAAGGCUUUGACGGGUAGCCGGGCUGGGAGGGGGGCCGGACAAACCGGGCUGGAGAUAAGACACAGACCAGACUCCGACGGAAGGGAGGAGAGGGGAACAUAAGAGGAGGGGGGAAAGUGUGAUAAAGCAGCGUGGGGGAAGUCGGCAAGGCCGUAGUAUUGCAAAGUUGCUUGUGCCGAGACGAGAAUGACAGUACCGGGUGAAGAAGCUCCGGCUAACUACGUG